rnacentral:rRNA from 1 species
AUUGAACGCUGGCGGCAUGCCUUACACAUGCAAGUCGAACGGCAGCACGGGGCAACCUGGUGGCGAGUGGCGAACGGGUGAGUAAUGUAUCGGAACGUGCCAUUGAGUGGGGGAUAACGUAGCGAAAGUUACGCUAAUACCGCAUAUACCCUGAGGGGGAAAGCAGGGGAUCGCAAGACCUUGUGCUCUUUGAGCGGCCGAUAUCAGAUUAGCUAGUUGGUGAGGUAAAGGCUCACCAAGGCGACGAUCUGUAGCGGGUCUGAGAGGAUGAUCCGCCACAGUGGGACUGAGACACGGCCCAGACUCCUACGGGAGGCAGCAGUGGGGAAUUUUGGACAAUGGGCGCAAGCCUGAUCCAGCCAUGCCGCGUGAGUGAAGAAGGCCUUCGGGUUGUAAAGCUCUUUCGGCCGGGAAGAAAUCGUACAGGUUAAUACCCUGUGUGGAUGACGGUACCGGAAUAAGAAGCACCGGCUAACUACGUGCCAGCCGCCGCCGUAAUAC